rnacentral:rRNA from 1 species
GAAUUCGCCCUUAGAGUUUGAUCCUGGCUCAGGACGAACGCUGGCGGCGCGCCUAACACAUGCAAGUCGAACGAGAGAUGAGGAGCUUGCUCUUCAAAUCGAGUGGCGAACGGGUGAGUAACGCGUGAGGAACCUGCCUCAAAGAGGGGGACAACAGUUGGAAACGACUGCUAAUACCGCAUAAGCCCACAGCUUGGCAUCGAGCAGAGGGAAAAGGAGCAAUCCGCUUUGAGAUGGCCUCGCGUCCGAUUAGCUAGUUGGUGAGGUAACGGCCCACCAAGGCGACGAUCGGUAGCCGGACUGAGAGGUUGAACGGCCACAUUGGGACUGAGACACGGCCCAGACUCCUACGGGAGGCAGCAGUGGGGAAUAUUGCACAAUGGGGGAAACCCUGAUGCAGCGACGCCGCGUGGAGGAAGAAGGUCUUCGGAUUGUAAACUCCUGUUGUUGAGGAAGAUAAUGACGGUACUCAACAAGGAAGUGACGGCUAACUACGUGCCAGCAGCCGCGGUAAAACGUAGGUCACAAGCGUUGUCCGGAAUUACUGGGUGUAAAGGGAGCGCAGGCGGACCGGCAAGUUGGAAGUGAAAACUAUGGGCUCAACCCAUAAAUUGCUUUCAAAACUGCUGGCCUUGAGUAGUGCAGAGGUAGGUGGAAUUCCCGGUGUAGCGGUGGAAUGCGUAGAUAUCGGGAGGAACACCAGUGGCGAAGGCGACCUACUGGGCACCAACUGACGCUGAGGCUCGAAAGCAUGGGUAGCAAACAGGAUUAGAUACCCUGGUAGUCCAUGCCGUAAACGAUGAUUACUAGGUGUUGGAGGAUUGACCCCUUCAGUGCCGCAGUUAACACAAUAAGUAAUCCACCUGGGGAGUACGACCGCAAGGUUGAAACUCAAAGGAAUUGACGGGGGCCCGCACAAGCAGUGGAGCAUGCGGUUUAAUUCGAAGCAACGCGAAGAACCUUACCUGAUCUUGACACCCCGAUGACCGCUUCGUAAUGGAAGCUUUUCUUCGGAACAUCGGUGACAGGUGGUGCAUGGUUGUCGUCAGCUCGUGUCGUGAGAUGUUGGGUUAAGUCCCGCAACGAGCGCAACCCCUAUCUUCAGUAGCCAGCAGGUUAAGCUGGGCACUCUGGAGAGACUGCCAGGGAUAACCUGGAGGAAGGUGGGGAUGACGUCAAAUCAUCAUGCCCCUUAUGACCAGGGCUACACACGUGCUACAAUGGCGUAAACAAAGAGAAGCGAACUCGCGAGGGUAAGCAAAUCUCAAAAAUAACGUCUCAGUUCGGAUUGUAGUCUGCAACUCGACUACAUGAAGCUGGAAUCGCUAGUAAUCGCAGAUCAGGAUGCUGCGGUGAAUACGUUCCCGGGUUUUGCACACACCGCCCGUCA